UACAGAGGUCUCAAGCGUUGUUCGGAUUCAUUGGGCGUAAAGGGCGCGUAGGUGGCUCGUUAAGCGUGUGGUGAAAGCCUGGGGCUCAACCCCAGGUCUGCCGUGCGAACUGGCGAGCUUGAGCAGAGUAGAGGCGGGUGGAAUUUCGGGUGUAGCGGUGGAAUGCGUAGAUAUCCGAAAGAACACCGGUGGCGAAGGCGGCCCGCUGGGCUCUUGCUGACACUGAUGCGCGACAGCGUGGGGAGCAAACAGG
rnacentral:rRNA from 1 species